UAUUUUCAGGACUCCACCUAAUACCCUCCCAUUACUGUCCUCAAACAGGGGAAAUAAUUUGAUAUUGAAACUUUUGAAAUUUAGGUACCCAACAAUUGUAGACGAAUCAACAAUUCCUAUAAUGAAAGAAUUUCUAGCUAAGGAAACUGUUCAACAAGUUCAAAUGUUAAAGGAUAAGAAUGUUGUGUAUCAAGAAAUAAGCAACAUAUUCGCAGUACACGUCCAAGAAUCAGGUCUUCACUUUCCUAUGAAUAUUA
rnacentral:sRNA from 1 species